GGCUCGGUGGCGUCUGGCACUCAUCUGCCUUAAAUGGCAUUGAACCAAGAUAUUUCUGCAGACCUCGCCCGUUCGACUCGGGCCCGAGCCA